UAUUGUGUGUUGCUCGCUCCUGUUCGAUACCUUCGCCAGAGAAACAUGGCGGAAAGACAUUCGUUUGGUAUACUCCUGUUUGCUGCCCACUUGGCCAUAUUGGAAUGCAAGUUUCCCUUGGUAUCAAGAAAAGCUUACAAUAUAAGUCAGGUGGUGAGAUGAGGUUUUCCGAGGACAUCAUUUAUAUGAGCUCGACAUCUAGCUGCGCAGUUAUUAGAGUAACAAAGAGUGGCGGCAAACACCCCUCUUUCGACCUUCGAGUUCGGAAUUCCUCAAUUAAAGAAGGCCCUGAGAAGAAAUGCUUGCACCACUUCCUGAUGCAUGUAAAGCGAGCCCAAGUGAUCUACCGUCCACUGUGUCAACAUAUAUUUGAUAACAGUGGGCAGUCCGCAUUGUUGGUUAUAGGUGGCAGCAAAAAUUAGUAAAAAAUUCACCAAAAUAACUGUAUAAACGAAGUGCAUGCGGAAAGGAAAAGCAGCAAACAGAUCGAUAAGAGGCAAAAAAAAGAUAUGAGCACUAUAGAAGAAUAUAACCCGUCGACCAAUCAUAAUUAUAUGCUACCUCACGAGUAUUUGUGCAGCUUAGAUUAGGUUACUUUCGUAGGUAUGUAAGAUUUUUAUAACAUGAAGUCCUCGCAGUUCUAGAUGUGUUGUUAUUCUUUAGUUACCUAAGCUAGGUAGUAUGUUAGUGUUUUAUUUAUUAGGUACCUAUUCUAUGAUUUCAAUACUUCUAUUGUUAAAAUGUAACUUGAAAUUUGUUUUUAGAUAUGCAAAUUGGCGUGCUUCGACAAAAGAAAAUAGAAGCUUUCAAUUAUUCAAAUUUACCAAUGGCAAAAUUCUCUUUUGGCAACUGUGAGCGCCUGUAAUAUACGUUUCUGGAUAUGCCAAUGCACUUGUUACCACAUAUUUCCUCUUAACAAGAUGUAGUGCUUUGUAAAUGUAUGUAUCUAUGUAGUGCUGUGCGAUGAGCUUUGGGAAGCACUCAACAAGAAAAACCUUCUUUGCUUGUCUCCCACACUAGUUCUCCAGUUAGUUCGUUUGCGCUAUUGGCUUAAAUUGACAAUUGUGAUUUUUGGUUUCUGUUUAGCUUUGGUUCAACAACGUUCACGGUUCCUCUUUUUUUCUACGAAACGCCUACACAUUUCAACAACAAUGCCAGUUUCCAGCUGGUAACGAAAUUAUGCCUACGAAAAGGGGGAUAAAUUGGUUUCGAUAAUCCUUGGUCACGCUCAAGUUCCGAUGAAUCACGACACGAAGGUACUCAUUCAUUCAUUCAUUCAUUCAUUCAGGCACCGUGGCUACGAGCUCGUUGUUG